AUUUGAAUAACGCGCCACAGGAUUCCACUGGCUGUUACGUAGGUGGGAUGAUUUCGUCCCGCCGACCCUAGAGAGGUUAAUAGAGCAUCUGACCAAUUACGAAAAACUUUAGUUAUGGGUUAACCUGAGGUUACCUAAACCCAAACCAAGACCCCUCGACAGUUUCCUUAUGUCCUUUGGAUGAUAUAGCUAGUCUGCACGUCACUGCACCAAAGUUAUCUGGUCAAUUAAAAAGUUAAAACCUCUUUCUGAGUUUUCAUUAUUAAGCCUUUUAUCUGAAAAAUGAAAAAUAAGGUGACAAAGAAGUGCUUGUCAAGGGUUCUUCUGGCGGCCUUGGGCUUUUAGAUGAUGGGCAACACACACCAGCCCCAUCACCCUUUCAACCUCAGCCUGCCAAAAACUGUAGGCUCAUUGAUAGCUCUGUAGUCAGCCAUCUCUCAUGGAAGAGGUGGACACAACUCACACACUCUGAGUUUCACAUUCACACAUGCAUGUAAGUGUACAUUGACAUUAGCAGUAUAUUCUUUCUCUCUCUCGCAACACACACAUAUUAUACACACAUAUAAUACACCACACUCUCUCCAGAUUAAUUCUCCUGAAUUAAUGGCCCGGAGCCUUCUAGCUGACUCAUGGUGUCGCCAAAUAUGGUGAGUUACUGUUGAAUUAGGCCAGGCUGCCACUCUGUCACAAACAAUGAUCCACUUAGUCCAUCCUAAUGUCCACCACUUGUCAUCACAGACACCACCCCGCUCAUCGCCGUGGGUGACCCUCCGUACUGUCCAUGAAUACAAACGAGGGACAGAUGUCUCUUAUACCGCAGACAGCUGCAUCUCGAUGUGUUUGCUUAGCCAGUGAAUCUUGGGAAAAAGGGGAGAAAAUCAAUGAUUUGCCAUCGAUAAAAUCUUGAUUGAUUCUUGAUUCUGCUUUUGGUUUUUAAAACGAUCGGCAACCUCAUUGAGGUAGUUUUUUUCUCGUCCCCAAUAGAAGCUGAGAAAAAUAUAUAUAGGCAAUUCGCCUUGAGUGAGUUUGUGAAACAAUGACCCAGACAGAGAAUUUCUUCCAUUCUUUCAUGCCUGGGCUAACGCAUACUCACAGUCCAGCAGUCCAAUCAAAUUGGAUCUAAUGCCAUAAUUCCUUAGCAGUCAAGGCGGGCACACAGAUGUGAAAUUCAGUAUAUGUUUUCUUCUUAGACUUAUUCAAGGAUUGAAUAGGUUUCUUUAUUUAAGUGGGGGUUGGGGAUUUGCUGUGUGUUUAAGUGUGCAUGUCAUUGUAUCACAUGUGUGAGUGAGAGUGAGAGAGAGAGAGAGAGAGAGAGAGAGAGAGAGAGAGAGAGAGAGAGAGAGAACUCUCCAACAGAACGACGCUUCAACAAGGAUCCCGACGACACACUGAGCGUAAAUAUAUAUUGAUUGCAAUUGUUCCCAAAUGAGUGAGCGUUCAUGUGCAAUUGAUUAGCAUGUCAAUUGUUAAUAUUAUUGAACUCUGUGUACCUCCUCAGCUGAACAUUUUAUGACAGAAUGUUCUACAAGACACCAGCCAUGCCUGUUAGCCACUAGGGCACAUUACUCUACCAAUUCUUUGUGACGAUAAUUACUGUUUGUAUACUUUCUGUGAAUUACUUAGUUUAGUAAAUAAAUGAUUUUAAGACAAUUGAUGAAUGGAUGACUCUUAGUAAAGACUGGGUUCGUGCAGAUACAACAAUUUACGACGUUUGGAAUGACACUGGACGCGAGGUAAAAUACACCAUUUAAACCAGAAGAUAAUCGGCCUAUACUAUAAUAGAAUAUAAUAUAUAAUGUUAUAAUAUAGGAAAGUUAUAUUAGGAAAAUUAUAACUUUGUAAUCUGAAUAUUUUCCUUGGUGCCCCGAUCUCCUAGUUAAUUACAAUUAAACGAUGAAUCAGUUUGAUCGCGUGAUAAUAAUUACAGGGAGUUAAUUGAUAAACAUGUCUUCAGUUUAAUGGUACCCCAAAGACACGACAGAGUAAUGAGGAAAGAGUUUUUUUUUGGUCAUUCCUCUUUGUCUGCACACCUCAAAUGUAAUGUGGCCAUUCACAUUACAUUCGUAAAUAAUGAAGAUAUGUUCUCCCAUGAGUUUUGAGGGUACACUCUGUCCAUUUAUAUAGUAGCUUUUGGUCACAGGCUUUAUUAAAACAAGAAUCACAUUGAUCUCUAGUACAGUACCUUGAACAUUACUUCAAAAACAUUAUCAUCACGGACACACAGCCAACAUUACCCAUAUAGGAAAGGAAAUGGUCCUGUGUAAUGAAUGUGACACAUAGCUAAGUAGGCUAUACAUGAAUUUGAAGUUUUGACAAGGACAGACAAUUUCAGAUUUAUUUUGUUUCAGCUAGUGUGUGAAUCUAUUUUAGAUUCAGAAUGUUGCUGUGCAGACAGAGUUGAAUUCCUCAUCGUUACUACCCUGUUUAUCAUGUAAAGCACAAUACAAAGUGACAGCAAGUCGGGACAAAGAACAUAGAUUAAAUCAGAAAUAUUUGCACAACUAAUUACCUCCAGAUGACUUUCCGGUAAACAAAAUGACAAGCUCCCGCAGUAUCACCACCAGAUAAUGGCCAAAACAUUGUCUCCCCCAACACCAUAAUGAUUUAACUCACAAACAAAUUAAUGAACAUGGUUUUAGAAACCAUUGACAAAUGAUUGAUAUUUCAGGUUGUAUUUGAAAUAGCUAGGAGGGAAAAUGAUUGUACACAGAAGAAGUGUUGUAGCCUAGCUAUCAAGCCUAGCAAUCAUUUGUUGAAAUGUGACGUGUGUAAAGUUCACAGGAGUUUCUCCUUUUAGAAAUGUUUGACAUUUUAGAAGUGCUAGUACUGCAUCUAAACACGUAUACCUACGUGAGGUAAAACAACAGUCAUUAAGUAUCUCUGAGGGCACCGACAGAGCUCGUGAUUUAUUCCUACUAAUGUUUUAUUAAUACAGACGUCUGUCUGAGGGGGAAACUUUGCCUUUUCUCACCACCACACUUCCAUUUGAAGAUAUCAAUCAUUCUAACUCGCUCGCAAAUGACACCUCAUCAAGCCUGACGGACUACAAGCUCCUACCAGCUUCUAGGCUGAACUUUAGUCUGAAAGUGAAAUUCAGAUCAGAAACUGCUGAUGGAAAGUGAAAGGCAGAACAGUUAUAGUGUUUAAGGACAUGUAAC
rnacentral:lncRNA from 1 species